rnacentral:rRNA from 1 species
CCAAUAGCGUAUAUUAAAGUUGUUGCAGUUAAAAAGCUCGUAGUUGAAUUUCGGGACCAAUUUGUUGGUCGUGCCUCGGUACGUACUGGUAUCAUUGGUUUCUCCCUUCUGAAGAACCUCGAUGCCAUUAAUUUGGUGUCGUGGGGAAUCAGGACUGUUACUUUGAAAAAAUUAGAGUGUUUAAAGCAAGCAUACGCUUGAAUACAUUAGCAUGGAAUAAUGAAAUAGGACGUUUGAUUCUAUUUUGUUGGUUUCUAGGAUCGACGUAAUGAUUAAUAGGGAUAGUUGGGGGCAUUAGGAUUCAAUUGUCAGAGGUGAAAUUCUUGGAUUUAUUGAAGACUAACUACUGCGAAAGCAGUUGCCAAGGAUGUUUUCAUUAAUCAAGAACGAAAGUUAGGGGAUCGAAGACGAUCAGAUACCGUCGUAGUCUUAACCAUAAACUAUGCCGACUAGGGAUCGGAUGAUGUUAAUUUUUUAAUGACUCAUUCGGCGCCUUACGGGAAACCAAAGUGUUUGGGUC